GGAUUCCCCUAGUAACUGCGAGUGAAGCGGGAAAAGCUCAAAUUUAAAAUCUGGCGGUCUUUGGCCGUCCGAGUUGUAAUUUAGAGAAGCGUCUUCCGCGCCGGACCGUGCACAAGUCUCCUGGAAUGGAGCGUCAUAGAGGGUGAGAAUCCCGUCUUUGGCACGGAUGCCCGGUGCUUCUGUGAUGCGCUCUCGAAGAGUCGAGUUGUUUGGGAAUGCAGCUCAAAAUGGGUGGUGAACUCCAUCUAAAGCUAAAUAUUGGCGAGAGACCGAUAGCGAACAAGUACCGUGAGGGAAAGAUGAAAAGCACUUUGGAAAGAGAGUGAAACAGUACGUGAAAUUGUUGAAAGGGAAACGCUUGAAGUCAGUCGCGUCGACCGAGACUCAGCCUUGCCUUGGCUUGGUGUACUUCUCGGCCCGACGGGUCAGCGUCAAUUUUGCCCCUCGGAUAAUGGCAAGGGAAAGGUGGCACCUUUACGGGUGUGUUAUAGUCUCCUGUCGCAUGCGAGGGGUGGGAUUGAGGAACUCAGCGCGCACCUUKGUGUCGGGGCUUCUGCCCACGUCACGCGCUUAGGAUGCUGGCRUAAUGGCUUUAAACGACCCGUCUUGAAACACGGACCAAGGAGUCCAACAYGCCCGCGAGUGUUCGGGUGGAAAACCCGUGCGCGUAAUUAAAGUGAAAGUUGGGACCUCUGUCGUGGAGGGCACCGACGCCCGGACCAGACCUUCUGUGACGGAUCUGCGGUAGAGCGUGUGUGUUGGGACCCGAAAGAUGGUGAACUAUGCCUGAAUAGGGUGAAGCCAGAGGAAACUCUGGUGGAGGCUCGUAGCGAUUCUGACGUGCAAAUCGAUCGUCAAAUUUGGGUAUAGGGGCGAAAGACUAAUCGA
rnacentral:rRNA from 1 species